AUGCCAAUGGCACUGCCCGGUAGCUAAAUGCGGAAGAGAUAAGUGCUGAAAGCAUCUAAGCACGAAACUUGCCCCGAGAUGAGUUCUCCCUGAGACUUUAAGUCUCCUGAAGGAACGUUGAAGACGAUGACGUUGAUAGGCCGGGUGUGUAAGCGCAGCGAUGCGUUGAGCUAACCGGUACUAAUGAACCGUGAGGCUUAACCUUACAACGCCGAAG
rnacentral:rRNA from 1 species